CAUGGUUUAGUGGGCGACAUUGGUAGUAAGGGGAUGGUUGGACCAGAUGAUCUGGGAGGUCUUUGCCAACCUGAAUGGUUCUGUGAUUCUGUGUAACAAUACAGCCAAGGAGCUGCCUGCUGUGGGGACACCUCUCCCUGAAGAGGGACCAGCCGGGGGGGCUGCGGCCACAGGGAGCCCCCCCGGUUACCUCAGACCGCGCUGAGGCGAGGCCCCGGCGCCUCUCAGGGGGGAGCCUCCCCUCAGCGCUCCCUCUCCUGCCCGCCCGGCUCAGCAACAGGUCUGUGCCGGGGGCGGAGAAGGGGGCUGUGUGUGUGUGUGUGUUUUGGGGGGGGGACCCCGCUUCUCCCCGCGGCGUGCCAGGCCCCCAGGCGGCGUGCCAGGCGAACAAAGGGGCCGAGCGCGGAGCGGGCUCCCGCGUUCAGCCAUUUGCAGCGCCCCGCCGCUCCCCACCCCCUUCCUCCCCCUUCCCCGCCGGCGCAGGCUCCGGCUCGCCUCGGAGCCGCCACCACCGCCAGCACCACACCACCACCGCCAGCACCACGCCGGGCCCGAGGUGGGGCCGGGCCGGCUGCGGGCUGUGGGCUGCGGGGCGGGGCGGGAGGCGGGCGGGCAGCCCUGCGGGAGCCCUGCCGGGAGCGCCGCGCUGCUCAACGCCCGUCUCCGCGCUGCCGCAAGUGGGAGUGCAUAUAAGGAGCAGUGAGAUGAAGAAACCUCUGUGAUGUUCAUGCCAAGGAGACUUUGGCUCAUGGGGAAUCUCCUUCUAGAACAGACUGCAACCACUCUCUUCCCCUGAAAUAGCUGCACAUGGUGAACAAGCUAUGAUAGUACUCCUAACUCUCUGACUUCAAAGGACAUUUCUUUCUCAUUGCCCAGUGCAGUGGGGGACUGGUUGUCACAAAAGGAUGCUGCGCAUAAAAACUUCAUAAAAUUUUUCAUAUAAUAACAGGAAAACCAGAACAGCUUUUCAGGCUGUCGAGGUGCGAUACCAACACCGGGAAGAGGUUUAGGCUCUCACCGACAGCAUCUGACAGGGGAGAACGAAGGUGGUGCAGGCUGGGCCGCGGAGGCUCAGUGCUCUGCGCUGUUCCCCGCAGGUGAUGGGCAUAGCGGUGUGGCCGAGAGCCGUCCCCUGCGGCGCCGCGCAGGGCCAGAGCAGCUAGCCUGG
rnacentral:lncRNA from 1 species